rnacentral:rRNA from 1 species
CAAUAGCGUAUAUUAAAGUUGUUGCGGUUAAAAGCUCGUAGUUGGAUUUCUGUUGAGGUCGGGCGGUGUACACCUCGUGUAUUAUUUGCUCCGGUCUCGGCAUCCUCUUGGGGAACGUUUCAGGACUUUAUUGGACUGGGCGAGAUUCAAGACUUUUACUUUGAGGAAAUUAGAGUGUUCACGGCAGGCAAGUGCUUUGAAUACAUUAGCAUGGAAUAAUAAUAUAGGACCUUCGUUCUAUUUGUUGGUUUCUUAGGACCGAAGUAAUAGAUUAAUAGGGACAGUUGGGGGCGAUUCAUAUUCCAUUGUCAGAGGUGAAAUUCUUGGAUUAACGGAAGAUGAACUUCUGCGAAAGCAUCUGCCAAGGAUGUUUUCAUUGAUCAAGAACGAAAGUUAGGGGAGUCGAAGAUGAUUAGAUACCAU